GCGACCAAACAGAAUGAUCGGCUGGCGGACAGCCUCAACAUGGGAGUUAUGGAUUGGUUUGAUCCAAUUGCUGAUUCGACUACUAGCCAUCUCGAUCUGAUUCCCCACAUGGUUUAGGGGAGAAGUUUAAAACAACAGGACUAUGGAAGGAUAUACGGUGCUACAUUGACAGUCAAGU